UGAAGGUGUGCUUGCUCCCGGAUGUUAGCGGCGGACGGGGAGAUACGCGUGGGUAACCUGCCUGUAAGACUGGGAUAACUCCGGGAAACCGGAGCUAAUACCGGAUAGUUCCUUGAACCGCAUGGUUCAAGGAUGAAAGACGGUUUCGGCUGUCACUUACAGAUGGACCCGCGGCGCAUUAGCUAGUUGGUGAGGUAACGGCUCACCAAGGCGACGAUGCGUAGCCGACCUGAGAGGGUGAUCGGCCACACUGGGACUGAGACACGGCCCAGACUCCUACGGGAGGCAGCAGUAGGGAAUCUUCCGCAAUGGACGAAAGUCUGACGGAGCAACGCCGCGUGAGUGAUGAAGGUUUUCGGAUCGUAAAGCUCUGUUGUUAGGGAAGAACAAGUGCAAGAGUAACUGCUUGCACCUUGACGGUACCUAACCAGAAAGCCACGGCUAACUACGUGCCAGCAGCCGCGGUAAUACGUAGGUGGCAAGCGUUUGUCCGGAAUUAUUUGGGCGUAAAGGGCUCCGCAGGCGGUUUCUUUAAGUCUGAUGUGAAAGCCCCCGGCUCAACCGGGGAGGGUCAUUGGAAACUGGGAAACUUGAGUGCAGAAGAGGAAAAGUGGAAUUCCCCCGUGUAGCGGUGAAAUGUUUAUAGAUGUGGGAGGAACCCCGUGGCCGAAGGCAACUCUCUGGGUCUGUAUCUGGACUCUUAAUGAUCUGAAAAGCGUUGGGGGAGGCGAAACAGGAUUC
rnacentral:rRNA from 1 species